rnacentral:rRNA from 1 species
AAAGCAGGGGAUCGCAAGACCUUGCGCUUUUGGAGUGGCCGAUGCCUGAUUAGCUAGUUGGUGGGGUAAGGGCCUACCAAGGCGACGAUCAGUAGUUGGUCUGAGAGGACGACCAGCCACACUGGGACUGAGACACGGCCCAGACUCCUACGGGAGGCAGCAGUGGGGAAUUUUGGACAAUGGGCGAAAGCCUGAUCCAGCAAUGCCGCGUGAGUGAAGAAGGCCUUCGGGUUGUAAAGCUCUUUCAGUCGAGAAGAAAAGGUCGCGACUAAUAAUCGCGACUCAUGACGGUAUCGACAGAAGAAGCACCGGCUAACUACGUGCCAGCAGCCGCGGUAAUACGUAGGGUGCGAGCGUUAAUCGGAAUUACUGGGCGUAAAGGGUGCGCAGGCGGCUUUGUAAGUCAGAUGUGAAAUCCCCGGGCUUAACCUGGGAAUUGCGUUUGAAACUACAAAGCUAG